UAAAUAUACCUGUCCAGAGCGUAAUGUAGGACGCUUGCAAGACAGGCACUCGGAAUUUCGGCAUUGCUACGCUAGUGACAAGUAUCUGACUACAUGGCAUUUCGCUACGACGUAGACAUGAAGAACGUCCCCAGCUCACUAGUGAUUGCUGUUGUGGGGGUAUUAUUUAUGACUGAGGUCACCGAGCAAGGGAAGGUGAUGGUCCCCACACCUUUUAAGAAUGGGAAGUGCCACUUCAGAGGAGGAGAAUAUAAAGAUGGCGAGGCAAUGUAUGAAAUAAAGCAGUGCGUGAAAUGGAUUUGUUUCCGAGACAACAGCACUCAUGGCACGAUGGUCGGUCUAGGGUGCGGAAAGGUGGCCGCAGCGCCCCCUUGCAAAAGGAUACCUACGAGGGAAGGUAUCAACCCGGAAUGUUGCGAGUAUAUACAGUGCGGAAACAGGCGAUUGGCCCAAUAGACUAUUGGUACUUGAACAAAGACAAUUU